CUGGCUUUGGCAGCAGGUAUACUGACAUUGGAACAAUGCAGAGAUUAGCAUGGCCUCUGCCCAAGGAUGACACGCAAAUUCAUGAAGUGGUCCAUAAUUUU
rnacentral:snRNA from 1 species